rnacentral:rRNA from 1 species
GGGCCAGUAGGUUGGUCGUGCCACCGGUACGUACUGGUCUCACUGAUUCCUCCUUCCUGAAGAACCGUAAUGCCAUUAAUUUGGUGUUGCGGGGAAACAGGACUGUUACUUUGAAAAAAUUAGGGUGUUUAAAGCAAGCUAACGCUUGAAUACAUUAGCAUGGAAUAAUGAAAUAGGACGAUCGAUCCUAUUUUGUUGGUUUCUAGGAUUGACGUA